AGCAGUACUCGGGUGACAUACCCUGGAAUCAGGCUCCCUCCUCUCUGGUUCCGGGUGUGUCACCUGAGAACUGCA
rfam:Myotis davidii contig203334, whole genome shotgun sequence.